UACGGGGGGGGCGAGCGUUGUUCGGAAUUACUGGGCGUAAAGGGUUCGUAGGUGGCCUGCUAAGUCGGAUGUGAAAUCCCCAGGCUUAACCUGGGAACUGCAUCCGAUACUGGAUGGCUUGAAUCCGGGAGAGGGAUGCAGAAUUCCAGGUGUAGCGGUGAAAUGCGUAGAUAUCUGGAGGAACACCGGUGGCGAAGGCGGCAUCCUGGACCGGUAUUGACGCUGAGGCGCGAAAGCUAGGGGAGCAAACGGG
rnacentral:rRNA from 1 species